rnacentral:rRNA from 1 species
UACAGAGGGUGCGAGCGUUGUUCGGAAUUAUUGGGCGUAAAGCGCUUGUAGGCGGCACGUCAAGUCGCGUGUGAAAUCCCCAGGCUUAACCUGGGAAGUGCGCGCGAAACUGACGAGCUUGAGUGCUGGAGAGGGUCGCGGAAUUCCCGGUGUAGAGGUGAAAUUCGUAGAUAUCGGGAGGAACACCAGUGGCGAAGGCGGCGACCUGGACGGACACUGACGCUGAGACGCGAAAGCGUGGGGAGCAAACAGG